ACGAACGAUAGGCAGGAAGAGAGACUGACUUAGACCUCACUAGCCACCUCUUUCCUAACUGUUCCAUUUCCCUAGUUUCAAAAUGAUGUGUUUGGUCUGUCUUAGAAGUUGGGCCUACGAACAGUGAUAUUCAGAUGCACCAAUUAACCCUGCUGUGGAAACCAAUUUUAUGCUGUGCAACGAACAGGCAGAUGCCACACAACAUGCCAAAAUCAAUUCUCGUUGGAGCUCUGCUGUUAACACUGCCUGAAGUAGUACCCGGAGACGGUGAGCUCCCUCAACACCACAAUAUUAUAACACAGACAGAUGACUGGUCCCGUGUGGCUCAGUUGGUAGAGCAUGGUGUUUGCAACGCCAGGGUUGUGGGUUUGAUUCCCACGGGGACCAAUAUGAAAAAAAAGAGAAAAAAAAGAAAGAAAUCUAUGCAUUCACUACUCACUGUGCAUCACCACUCUAUCUUCGUGGAUGAUGGAGACUUGGUGUGGCUGAAGGGAGUCUGCAUCUUCAUCAUCAGAGAUGAUAGCAAGUACGCAGACUGGACCAAUGAGGACACCAGGAUUUCUUGACUCACGUUUCUACAGUAUGACAACCAGAAGAGUGUGAAAUACAGAUCAACCAAUCCAGAAGACGUGUUGUGAUUUCUGGGCAAGGCAAGUCAAUAUUAAAAGGAGCAGCCUGUCACGUCCUGACCAUAGUAAGUUGUUAUUUUCUAUGGUAGAGUAGGUCAGGCCGUGACAGGGGGUGUUUGUCCGUUUUUUGUAUUUCUGUGUGUAGUUUCUAGUUUUGUAUUUCUAGGUUGGUUUUUGUUUGGCAUGACCUCCAAUUAGAGGCAGCCGGUUGUCAUUGUCUCUAAUUGGAGGCCAUAUUUAAGUUGAUGUUUGUCCCACUUGUGUUUUGUGGGUGAUUAAUUGUGUGAGUAGUGUAUGCCUGCUCUGCAUCACGGCUUUCUUGUUUUGUAUUUCAAGUUUAUUGUAUAUUGCAUUAGUUUCACGAUUGAAUAAAAGAUGUGGAACUACGAUCACGCUGCAUAUUGGUCCGAUCCUUCUGAAAGCCCUGACACAGUCAUAGUUUACUAGGCCUACCUCCUUGCUAAGACAACACACAAG
rnacentral:tRNA from 1 species